rfam:Salmo salar isolate Sally breed double haploid chromosome ssa25, whole genome shotgun sequence.
UGGCUCAGUUAGUAGAGCAUGGUGUUUGCAAUGCUAGGGUUAUGGGUUCAAUUCCCAU